CACUUUUCAGAAUAUUCAUGAUUUUAAUGAGCUGAAAGAUAGAGAGCAUACAGUGUUAAAGUCUGGAAUGGAUGAGAUCGCAUAGACUAGUAUGAAGAAUGGAACUUGGCAUUUAAUGGAGGAUGGACAGACAAAGAUGAGCUCAUGAAAAAUACUGAGGAGAAGCCAGAGAGACUGGGGGGAGAAGCAGGAGAAUGUAGGAUCCUGAAACCUGAGGGGAAAGAGUAUCAAGGAGACAGGAUCAAGUAAGAUUCAGAAACACGAGUUGAUCUGAAAUUUAUGUACCCGGAUCCUCCAAGAGAUCAUCACACCUUAGAGAUUCAGCAGCAAGCCCUGCUAAGAGAGCAGCAGAAGAGGCUGAACAGAAUAAAAAUGCAGGAAGGUGCCAAAGUUGACUUAGAUGCCAUCCCAAGUGCUAAAGUACGAGAGCAAAGAAUGCCCAGAGAUGACACUAGUGAUUUCUUGAAAAACUCAUUAUUGGAAUCUGAUAGUGCUUUUAUUGGGGCUUAUGGUGAGACAUAUCCUGCCAUUGAAGAUGACGUCCUCCCUCCACCAUCACACUUGCCCACUGCACGGGAGCGCAGGAGGAACAAAUGGAAAGGACUAGACAUUGAUAGCAGUCGUCCUAAUGUAGCACCAGAUGGUCUCUCUCUCAAAUCUAUAUCCAGUGUAAAUGUUGAUCAGCUUAGAACGAGAAAUGAGGAACGAAUGCGAAGACUGAAUGAA
rnacentral:sRNA from 1 species